GAUGAACACUGGCGGCGUGCCUAAUACAUGCAAGUCGAGCGAACGGACGAGAAGCUUGCUUUUCUGAUGUUAGCGGCGGACGGGUGAGUAACACGUGGAUAACCUACCUAUAAGACUGGGAUAACUUCGGGAAACCGGAGCUAAUACCGGAUAAUAUUUUGAACCGCAUGGUUCAAAAGUGAAAGACGGUCUUGCUGUCACUUAUAGAUGGAUCCGCGCUGCAUUAGCUAGUUGGUAAGGUAACGGCUUACCACGGCAACGAUGCAUAGCCGACCUGAGAGGGUGAUCGGCCACACUGGAACUGAGACACGGUCCAGACUCCUACGGGAGGCAGCAGUAGGGAAUCUUCCGCAAUGGGCGAAAGCCUGACGGAGCAACGCCGCGUGAGUGAUGAAGGUCUUCGGAUCGUAAAACUCUGUUAUUAGGGAAGAACAUAUGUGUAAGUAACUGUGCACAUCUUGACGGUACCUAAUCAGAAAGCCACGGCUAACUACGUG
rnacentral:rRNA from 1 species